rnacentral:tRNA from 1 species
GUAUUUAUAGCUCAGUAGCAGAGUGGGUGCUUAGCAUGCACAAGGUCCUGGGUUCAAUCUCCAGUACCUCCA